ACGCUCGACACCUACGGGAGCAGCAGUGAGGAAUAUUGGUCAAUGGGCGCUAGCCUGAACCAGCCAAGUAGCGUGAAGGAUGAAGGCUCUAUGGGUCGUAAACUUCUUUUAUAUAAGAAUAAAGUGCAGUAUGUAUACUGUUUUGUAUGUAUUAUAUGAAUAAGGAUCGGCUAACUCCGUGCAAGCAGCCGCGGUAAUCUGAGCGGGCUGGCAAGGC
rnacentral:rRNA from 1 species